GAUGAACGCUGGCGGCGUGCUUAACACAUGCAAGUCGAACGAAGCACCUCUCCCGAAGCUUGACACAGCUUGCUGUAGAUUGAUUCAUUUGAGGUGACUGAGUGGCGGACGGGUGAGUAACGCGUGGGUAACCUGCCUCAUAGAGGGGGACAACAGUUGGAAACGACUGCUAAUACCGCAUAGUAAGAAGAAUUCGCAUGUUUUCUUCUUGAAAGAUUUAUCGCUAUGAGAUGGACCCGCGUCUGAUUAGCUAGUUGGUAAGGUAACGGCUUACCAAGGCGACGAUCAGUAGCCGGCUUGAGAGAGUGACCGGCCACAUUGGGACUGAGACACGGCCCAAACUCCUACGGGAGGCAGCAGUGGGGAAUAUUGCACAAUGGGGGAAACCCUGAUGCAGCGACGCCGCGUGAGUGAAGAAGUAUUUCGGUAUGUAAAGCUCUAUCAGCAGGGAAGAUAAUGACGGUACCUGACUAAGAAGCCCCGGCUAACUACGUG
rnacentral:rRNA from 1 species